rnacentral:lncRNA from 1 species
GGAAGAGAAGGCGGUGUAGCCCAGAAGAGAGUGAUGGCGGCGCCGCCCAAUGGACGCGUGGGUGGAAGGGCCCGAGCCUCCUCAUCCACCCCCUCCUUCCGCCCCCCACUUGUGCAUGCCUCUGCCCCCCCGGGCCGCGGAACUCUCCUGGGGCGACCCCGAGUCCCACCCCGCUGCUCCGUGCCGUCCUCGCAGCUCGAGCCCUCCUCCAGCCCAGCAGUGCUCCCGCAGCGUCUGGCCGCUGGUCGUCGGCAGACGAAAGGGCUUGAACCGCGGCUGACCUUAGCCUUUGUCCCUCGGCCUAGUUCCGCAGCUGCCGUCGAGGCCGCCAGCCCCUCCCCCAGCAUGUUUGGGCUAAGCCGCCUCCUUUCCGCCUGCGUUGGAGAGAGAGGUACCAGAAGGAAUGAAAGGACUGGGGCUUGUCUCCAUGGCAACUGAAAGAAAGAGAGAAAAAUUGGUCACCUCCAGGACUGAGACCCUGACCCUUCCAAGCAUCCCCACUACCAAAGGCUGCCCAAGCCCGGAAGGAUCCCAUCCCGUUCUGUACUCUGAGGUCACUUCCUCACUCCGUCAAAUUUCACUGGACUGUGGGCUAAUUAAAAGUGCCUCCGUAUUAGCGGGGCGUGGUGGCCCAUGCCUAUAAUCCCAGCUACUUGGGAAGCUGAGGCAGGAAAAUUGCUUGAACCCGGGUGGCGGAGGCUGCAGUGACCCAACAUUGUGCAACAAGAGCGAAACUCCGUCUCAAAAAAAAUAAAAAAUAAAAAAGAGUGCCUCCCUGGGGAGACUGUAAUGCCCACUGGGCAGUGAUCCUAAUGCCCCUUGGGCAGUGAUCCUUAUUCCCCUCUCCCAUAAUGAUUGGUUGUAGCAGGCUGAACAAAAAGGUUGAGCUUCGCUUGUGCUUGCUGAAUAGAAUUCUCACGCCCACUCCACGUUAGCUCCCCUCACUGUAGGACUAGCUCUGAAAAUUCUAGCUCCUGUAGGAAGCCAACACAGACGGAUCUACAAGAACCAAAAACAGCUAUAGCUACUCUUCUAAAUCUCAGUGCCUGACAUUGCCUCUCUUUCUGCCUCCUCUCUCCACCCCCCAAAAAAUGUGGUCCUCCUUGACCUGAGGGAGCUUCCGUCCAAGUCUGAGCUCUGAUCAUCCUGAAGAAUCAAAGUAUCAUCAUCCCUUGGCUGGCAAGAUGAACUCCAACAUCAAAACACUUGAAACAGUAGUAUUUUUACACAAUUUGCCCACUGCCUCUACAUCUCACUUAGUCCUUGCAGUAACAUUUGGAUGAUGAGGUAACUUAUCCAGAAGCACAAAGCCUAAAGAAUGACAGAGCUUGGACUCCUGAGAAGUUCAGCUACUGCCCGCCUUAUGAUAACCAAAAGAAAGCGGCCGGGCGCAGUGGCUCAACUCCUGUAAUCCCAGCACUUUGGGAGGCCGAGGCGUGCGAAUCACAAGGUCAGGAGUCCGAGACCAGCCUGGCCAACACAGGGAAACCCCGUCUCUACUAAAAAAAACAAACACAAAAAUUAGUUGGGCGUGGUGGUGGGCACCUGUAAUCCCAGCUACUUGGGAGGCUGAGGCAGGAGAGUCACUUGAAUCCGGUAGGCGGAGGUUGCAGUGAGCCGAGAUCGUGCCACUGCACUCCAGCCUGGGAGACAGUGAGACUCCGUCUCUAAAAAAAAAUGAAUAAAUAAAUAAGAAGGCACACCACAAGUUCGAGACCACUUCUACAAAAAAUAAAAAAUAAAAAAAAUUAGGCCAGGCACAGUGGCUCAUGCCUGUAAUCCAAGCACUUUGGGAGGCUGAGGCGGGCGGAUCACUGGAGGUCAGGAGUUUCAGACCAGCCUGGCCCAACAUGGUGAAACCCUGUCUCUACUAAAAAUACAAAACUUAGCUGGGCGUAGUGGUGCGUGCCUGUAAUCCCACUUACUCCAGAAGCUGAGGCAGAAGAACUGCUUGAACCUGGGAUGCAGAGGUUGCAGUGAGCUGAGAUUGCACCACUGCACUCCAGCCUGGGCAACAGAGUGGGACUCUGCCUCAAAAAAAAAAAAAAAAAGAAAAUGAAGAUGACCAAAUGGGCUUCUAGAUGGCUAAUGAUAUUCUGUUUCUUUGAUCUGGGUGGGGGUUACAUGGGUGUGUUCCCUUUGUAAUAUGUUAUCAAGACAUUUUGUGCACUUUUUUGGGUAUUAUACUGAAAGAAAACAUUUAUUUUUUAAAAAGUUGAAAAAUUGCCUUGGAGCAGAGUAAGGUAAAUCUAUGAUUAAGCUUAGAUUUUUUUAUUUUUUAUUUUUUAUUUUUUUUCAAAAAAAAUGAGGCCAGGCGCGGUGGCUCACGCCUGUAAUCCCAGCACGUUGGGAGGCCGAGGUGGGCAGAUCACGAGGUCAGGAGGUCGAGACCAUCCUGGCUAACACGGUGAAAUCCCAUCUCUACUAAAAAUACAAAAAAUUAGCCAGGCAUGGUGGCAGGCACCUGUAGUCCCAGCUACUCGGGAGGCUGAGGCAGGAGAAUGGCAUGAACCUGGGAGGCAGAGCUUGCAGUGAGCCAAGGUCACGCCACUGCACUCCAGCCUGGGUGACAGAGCAAGACUCGUCUCAAAAAAAAAAAAAAAAGUAAAAUGAACCUAACAAGAGGCAUCCUUUCUCUGUGGUUAUUAUAGUGAGAACUAAGUUCUUUAUCACUCUCCGGUUAUUUACCCCUAGAGAGAAGCCAACUUUCUGGUUGUAUACACCAGAAUAAGUACAAGAAUGGUAAGCAUAGAGCUUCAGAGAAACUAGCCAGAUUCUAAAGGAAUGACUUGAAAAUCGAGAGCCGUUUCAAUGACAAAACAUCAUACAAAAUAUUCAUCUACCACAUUAGAGGCCUAUCGCUAGGUAAAAACACCAAAACUUCAGCUUAAACAGUAGUAUGUAUGUAUGUAUUAUCCCAGUUUCUGUGAGUCAGGAAUUCAGGAUUGAUAAGCUGGGUGGUUCUUGUUCAGAAUCUUUCAAGAGGUUGCAGUCCUCUGAAAGUGUAGUGGGUUGGGGUAUCCACUUCCAAGGUGGCUUGCUCAUAUGGCUGGCAAGUUGGUGCUGGCUGUUGGCAGGAGGCCUCAGCUCACAAUGCAGGCUUUCAUAGGACUACGUGAGUGUCCUUUCAACAUGGCAGCAGGCCUUCCCUAGAGCUAGUGAAGGAUGAGAAAACGACAAAUCGCAAUGUCUUUUAUGACCUAGGCUGGGAAGUUAUACUCCAUCAUUUAUGCAAUAUCCUGUUAUCACACAGGUCAUCCCUAUUCAGUGUAGGUUGGUACUACACAAGGACAUGAAUAUCAGGAGGAAGAGAAUCUCUGGAGGCCAUCUUGGAGCCCAUAGUCCGCCUUCUGCCCCCUAAUGAUUCACGUCUUCGUCUGUUCCUGCUCUCUAAGAGCCAGGAGGCAGACUUCCCUUGAGCUUUCUUGCAGCUAAAGUAGAGCAUCAUUAGCAGUAAAAAUUAAGAUAUCAUCACAAAGGCCAGGCACAGUGGCUCACGCCUGUAAUCCCAACACUUUGGGAGGCCAAGGUGGGCGGAUCACCUGAGGUCAGGAGUUCGAGACAUGCCUGGCCAACAUGGUGAAACCCUGUCUUCACUAAAAAUACAAAAAUUAACCUGGUGUGUUGGCGGGCACCUCUAAUCCCAGCUACUUAGGAGGCUGAGCCAGGAGAAUCACUUGAAACCAGAGGCGGACGUUGUAGUGAGCCAAGAUGGCACCACUGAACUUGAGCCUGGGUGACAGAGCAAGACUCCAUCUCAAAAAAAAAAAAAAAAAAGACAUCACAAGAUUGCCAGGCACAGAGGCUUAAACACCAAGUUCUUUCUCAUGUCAUCGUGUUUCGUCGGUGCCGAGGACAUGAGGGGUGUAGAUCAGGCCUGUUUCAAACACAAGGCCUUUUGGCCAGAGUGUAAUGGUGUGAGGACUUGGGAAGACCUUACCUACUUAACUGUCUCUCUCAAAGGACAAAGGUAUGAGGGGGUUAAAAAAAAAAAAAAAAAGGCAAAGCUAUGAA